CACCGCGGUUAUACGAGUGACACAAACUAAUAUUCCACGGCGUUAAGGGUGAUUAAAAUAAAUCUUUUUAAAAAUAAAGUUAAGACAACAUCAAACUGUCAUACGUUCCCAUGUUUAAAAACAUCACCUACGAAAGUAACUUUAUACAAAAAAGAGUUCUUGAUUUCACGAUAGUUAAGACC
rnacentral:rRNA from 1 species